ncrna:unclassified sequences Transposase-1 RNA
UGUUAAUAGAUUGCCUCUGUCAUUACCUGCUUUUUGCGGAUAUGGGAAUGCAAUUGAUGA